rnacentral:rRNA from 1 species
GUGGGGAAUAUUGGACAAUGGGGGGAACCCUGAUCCAGCCAUGCCGCGUGUGUGAAGAAGGCCUUUUGGUUGUAAAGCACUUUAAGCGAGGAGGAGGCUACCGAGAUUAAUACUCUUGGAUAGUGGACGUUACUCGCAGAAUAAGCACCGGCUAACUCUGUGCCAGCAGCCGCGGUAAUACAGAGGGUGCAAGCGUUAAUCGGAUUUACGGGGCGUAAAGCGCGCGUAGGUGGCCAAUUAAGUCAAAUGUGAAAUCCCCGAGCUUAACUUGGGAAUUGCAUUCGGUACUGGUUGGCUAGAGUAUGGGAGAGGAUGGUAGAAUUCCAGGUGUAGCGGUGAAAUGCGUAGAGAUCUGGGGGAAUACCGAUGGCGAAGGCAGCCAUCUGGCCUAAUACUGACACUGAGGUGCGAAAGCAUGGGGAGCAAACAGGAUUAGAAACCCGAGUAGUCC